GACAUGCCAGCAACAUUUUCUGUUGAGUUAUUCUCAGAGACGUCUAUCACGUCAGAUACUGCUGGUGAAACCUUGGAGGAAUAUUUACCUUUAAACAGGGCCAUCUUCUCCUGGUUCCUGCUGUCUUUUUGAUUCCUGAAGGGAUGAAAUCUGCAGCUUUUCCUGAGAUGACAUGCCAGCAACAUUUUCUGUUGAGUUAUUCUCAGAGACGUCUAUCACGUCUGAUACUGCUGGUGAAACCUUGGAGGAAUAUUUACCUUUAAACAGAGCCGUUGAACUUCAAGAUCAAUCAAUACACUUGGAUGCUGUGGUUCAGUUUCUGUUUGCUGGUGUUUUGAGUCUUCAGAGGAAUAACUUUGCUUUCC